GCGGGAAUAGCUCAGUUGGUAGAGCACGACCUUGCCAAGGUCGGGGUCGCGAGUUCGAGUCCCGUUUCCCGCUCCA
rnacentral:tRNA from 1 species